rnacentral:rRNA from 1 species
AACGAACGCUGGCGGCGUGCCUAACACAUGCAAGUCGUACGUAAAAGUCUUUCGGGAUGAGUAAAGUGGCGCACGGGUGAGUAACACGUAGGUGACCUGCCGUUUAGAGGGGGAUAACCAGAAGAAAUUUUGGCUAAUACCGCAUACGAAGUACAAAUCUUAGAGUAGUACUUGAAAGAAUGCCUCUGCAUAUGCAUUCACUAAACGAUGGGCCUGCGGAACAUUAGCUUGUUGGUGGGGUAAUGGCCUACCAAGGCUACGAUGUUUAUCCGGUCUGAGAGGAUGAUCGGACACACUGGAACUGAGACACGGUCCAGACUCCUACGGGAGGCAGCAGUGGGGAAUAUUGCGCAAUGGGGGAAACCCUGACGCAGCAACGCCGCGUGAGUGAGGAAGGACUUCGGUCUGUAAAGCUCUGUUAAUGUGGAAAAAUGGUUAGUGGUCUAAUAGGCCAUUGAUUUGAAGGUACACAUAGAGGAAGCACCGGCUAACUUCGUGCCAGCCGCCGCAGUAA